GGAUGAACGCUGGCGGCGUGCCUAAUACAUGCAAGUCGAGCAAACAGAUAAGGAGCUUGCUCCUUUGACGUUAGCGGCGGACGGGUGAGUAACACGUGGGUAACCUACCUAUAAGACUGGAAUAACUCCGGGAAACCGGGGCUAAUGCCGGAUAAUAUUUAGAACCGCAUGGUUCUAAAGUGAAAGAUGGUUUUACUAUCACUUAUAGAUGGACCCGCGCCGUAUUAGCUAGUUGGUGGGGUAAUGGCUUACCAAGGCAACGAUACGUAGCCGACCUGAGAGGGUGAUCGGCCACACUGGAACUGAGACACGGUCCAGACUCCUACGGGAGGCAGCAGUAGGGAAUCUUCCGCAAUGGGCGAAAGCCUGACGGAGCAACGCCGCGUGAGUGAUGAAGGUCUUCGGAUCGUAAAACUCUGUUAUUAGGGAAGAACAAAUGUGUAAGUAACUGUGCACGUCUUGACGGUACCUAAUCAGAAAGCCACGGCUAACUACGUGCCAGCAGCCGCGGUAAUACGUAGGUGGCAAGCG
rnacentral:rRNA from 1 species